rnacentral:rRNA from 1 species
GAGUUUGAUCCUGGCUCAGAUGACGCUAGCGCAGGCUNACACAUGCAGUCGNGGGUACNUGUGCUUGCACAGAUGACGNCNGCGAACGGGUGCGUAACGCGUAUAGAAUCUGCCUUGUACAGGAGGAUAGCCUUUAGAAAUGAAGAUUAACACUCCAUAAUGUAUAGAAGAGGCAUCUCUUUUAUAUUAAAUAUUUAUAGGUACAAGAUGACUAUGCGUCCUAUUAGCUAGAUGGUAAGGUAACGGCUUACCAUGGCAACGAUAGGUAGGGGGUCUGAGAGGAUUAUCCCCCACACUGGUACUGAGACACGGACCAGACUCCUACGGGAGGCAGCAGUGAGGAAUAUUGGUCAAUGGAGGCAACUCUGAACCAGCCAUGCCGCGUGCAGGAUGACUGCCCUAUGGGUUGUAAACUGCUUUUAUACAGGAAGAAACCGUGCUACGUGUAGCACCUUGACGGUACUGUAAGAAUAAGGACCGGCUAACUCCGUGCCAGCAGCCGCGGUAAUACGGAGGGUCCAAGCGUUAUCCGGAAUCAUUGGGUUUAAAGGGUCCGCAGGCGGUCAAUUAAGUCAGAGGUGAAAGCCCAUCGCUCAACGAUGGAACUGCCUUUGAUACUGGUUGACUUGAGUUAUACGGAAGUAGAUAGAAUAAGUAGUGUAGCGGUGAAAUGCAUAGAUAUUACUUAGAAUACCGAUUGCGAGGGCAGUCUACUACGUAUAUACUGACGCUCAUGGACGAAAGCGUGGGGAGCGAACAGGAUUAGAUACCCUGGUAGUCCACGCCGUAAACGAUGGAUACUAGUUGUUGGGUUUCGACUCAGCGACUAAGCGAAAGUGAUAAGUAUCCCACCUGGGGAGUACGGUCGCAAGACUGAAACUCAAAGGAAUUGACGG